GAGACAGCAGUAGCCACGGUAAUACGUAGGUGGCAAGCGUUGUCCGGAAUUAUUGGGCGUAAAGCGCGCGCAGGUGGUUUGAUAAGUCUGAUGUGAAAGCCCACGGCUCAACCGUGGAGGGUCAUUGGAAACUGUUAAACUUGAGUGCAGGAGAGAAAAGUGGAAUUCCUAGUGUAGCGGUGAAAUGCGUAGAGAUUAGGAGGAACACCAGUGGCGAAGGCGGCUUUUUGGCCUGUAACUGACACUGAGGCGCGAAAGCGUGGGGAGCAAACAGGAUUAGAUACCCCUGUAGUCCCUGUCUCUUAUAC
rnacentral:rRNA from 1 species